ensembl:lncRNA novel transcript
UGAUCCUCCUACUUUGGCCUUAACUUCAGAUGUUGCCUUCCUGGUGUCUGGGCUUCCGCAGCUGCUGCUUCUUGAAAUCUGAUUAGCACCAUAGGACUGACAGUGGCAUAGGCAUUGACCACAAACUUGUGGACACUGUCGAUGACAGGGCUGAAUACCCAUAACAGCAUUUUGGAGGAUGAGACAAUUAAGUCCAAUGAGUACAUAACCACGAAGAAACUCACCAGCAGCAAGAUGGUCUUGGUGGCCCUUUUCUCUGGGGAGGUUCUUAAUAAAAAGCUAGUGCUGUGAAGGUGCUGGGAGCACCUCUGAUGCCUGGACAAGAGAAUCACCAUGAAGGCACUUGAGAGCGGCAUGAUUCCUACAAGGAAGACAUCUCUGGAUAACGACAGAGUAACAAACAGCCUUCUGAUGGUGACAUUCAUUGGGGAAAGUGAGCAGUAUUUACUGACAUUCAGAAUUAUCUGGGUCACACUGGAAAAACCUACAAUGUAGAUUAUCAUGUCACUGUUGAAAGACAAAUUGAGGGACCAAAAAAAGAGUAAACCCAGGAUAUGUUAUUUUAUGUUUAAAUCUCACCAACCAGGAGGUGCUGGGGCUGAUGGUGAUGAUCUGAAGCAUGCUCAGGAGAGAGGUGGUGCAGAUCAAGAGGCCCCUCAUUACCUUGUAUAUGUAGAACACAGCCUUACAUCUGAAGUUAUUCUGAAAAUUCUGUGACUCAAACACGUCUAGAGACAAUAACUCUGCUGCCAUGACUAGCAUCACUAUGUAGACAGAAACCAAGUGACAGAUGAUCAGGUCAUGGUUUUUUAGGCUUGUGAUCCUUAAAGAAUGUAAAAAUGUGCCAGAGAAGAAGAAAGAUGUUGGCUGAGAUUCCAAUGCCAGCUUGAAAACAAAAGGCCUUUUGAAAGAUAACAUGUGAAAUGUGUGUUCAUCCUAAUGACAUAGAAGAAACAUUUUGAAGACCUGAAAAAAGUAGAUCUGUGUCAUCAAUGUCCUUUUGUCAGUGUUCAAAAUUAUUACCAUUAUUAUUUUUAUUUUACUCUCAUUUCUUGAUUAACCCCAUCUUAUAUAAAUUCUUGAUAAUGUAUCUCCUAUACUAUUUCCUAAACCAAAUAAAUAUAUACAUAUAUAAUUAU